AAGGGUAUAGCUCAGUGGCAGAGUAUGUGCUUAGCAUGCACGAGGUCAUGGGUUCGAUUCACCAGUACUUCUG
rnacentral:tRNA from 1 species